rnacentral:lncRNA from 1 species
CAAUUACAACUACAGAGACAUACUAGAUGCCAAAUUCUGAACCGAAAACAUUAUCUCGAUACCAAAGUUUUUUGUAUUUUACCCCCAAAAUUACUGUCAAAUGGACAGUGAUAAUCAAUAAUUUAAAAAAAAACAUGUGUAACAGCAAGAUUUAACAAAAAUAUAGUAUUAAAUCAAAAGCUUACACUGGAGUUGUCAUCACCAAGUUUUGCAUGGAUAUAUCUUCCGCAAUCACACUACAUGGAACUCUUGUUCAUCUGUUCUUUCCGUAGCAACCAAAUAUUGUGAGCCCUAAUUUUUUGUCAAGUUAAGAAAACCCUAUUUUUUGUCAA